GGGGGGCCUGGGCACCAUGUCCAGUGGUGGUGGGGGGCCUGGGCAGGGACAGGAGAGUCCCCAGCCCUUCUGCUUCCCGCUCCUCACAAUCUAAGCCCCGUCCUUCUCCUGUCGCCCGGCACCGGGCACAGUCCCUGUGCCUUCUGCUGGCUGCUGGCCUGGGACUCAGACAAGCAAGCCUUUGGGGUUUGUGGGCCAGACGAGGGAGGCGUCGUCUGUUUGCCCUGCUCUCUCCUGCCCCCUUUCAUGGGAGCCCGACCGGAGGCUGCUCCAGGUUGGAUUUCAGGCCGGGGCCGGCUCCGGUGUGGCUCAGUCUGUUUUGGGUCACCCUGAAACAGGAGAGCACUCGGAGCCCCGGCGUGCCAGCCGAGGCUGCUCCAGGUCCAGCCCCAGCCUCGCGUGCCCGAGUGGAAAAGUCCAGCCCCGAGAGCGCCUGCUGUGGGCGCCACCCUUGGCUGAUCCGGGGAGCGCAGUGGAUCUUGCAAACCCCGCCGGUUCUCUGGGAGGUCACUUCUGUCCUGUGGGGGGCAGCGCUCUGGCUGGAGGCUGCAAACACAGAAAGCGACAGCGGCACCGGGUUCCUGAUGGGCUGCGACACACAAGGAAGCCGGGGCACGGCGUGGGGAGGGCGUGGGCAGCGGGAGCCCAGGGCCUGGGACGCCCAGGCACAGGAUCGUCCCCCACCGCAGGUCGGGCUAUGCAGACGCUCACACCGGAUGCUGCCGACCUGCACCCUGCACUGUGGCGCAAAUGCCUUCGUCCCGACCCCUCGCUCAUUCCCGCGCCCGCGGUCACCCCAGGCUCCUGUCGGAGGUGGCCGCGGCCGGGGAUGGCCGUUCGCUGUGGCGUCCUCAGUUGUUGGCUUUGUAUGAGGGUGCUUCAAAAAGCUUGUGGGACAAAAAUAGAAUUAAAAGAUAAGCUUAUUAUUUUAAUUUCUAAAGAUUUAUUUGACAAUAGAGGGAGAGACAGAGAGAGGUUCACUCCCCAAAUAACCACAGAGGCUGGACCGACCGACCAGGAACUGAACUGGGGGGCCACCUUUUCAUUAGGGCAAACGUCAAACAUAAUCAUUUUAUUUUUCACUUAUUUAAAAAAAUUACUAGGAGGCAGGGAGAGAGACACAGAACCCCCUGUCUUCUGGUUUGCUCCCUACAUGCCUGCAACAGCUGGGACUGAGGCCAGGAGCCAGGAACUCCUCCUGGGUCUCCUACACGGGACCGGCACCCACGGGCUUGAGCCCUCGCUUGGCUGUUCCCAGACUUAGCAGGAAGCUAGAACCAGGCGCGGAGCUGGAAUCGAGCCCAGGCACUCUGGGGCGGGAUGUGGGCGUCCCUAGCAGCAUUGUAACUGCGACGCCCGCCCCGGGUAACUACUUUAGAGGGGUGUGCACAGUCACAACCCCGCACAGCGCCGCCUCUGUCCGUGCCCAUCACCCCAGCGNNNNNNNNNNNNNNNNNNNNNNNNNNNNNNNNNNNNNNNNNNNNNNNNNNNNNNNNN
rnacentral:lncRNA from 1 species